rnacentral:lncRNA from 1 species
CCUAACAUAAUAACAACCAACCCACCAGCCUUAUUACCCGAUCCAGGCCCAACCAAAAACCCUUAUACAGCUCUGACGCAGCCCACACCCUUGUUACUUGUCCUUUACCCUCACACAAACAACAACAACGUACAACCCCCAUCAAUAAUGCUCCAACAGUGUACAAGAAAAUGGAAAAAACAAAAAUAACAACAGCAAACAAUAUCCACGACAGCAACAGCCAACAGUAAAAUAACGACAAAACCCAAUCCCCAAACAAACAGACACAAUUUCAACGUUCAACAGCAACUUUGACAACAACACAACAAUUUCAACGCAACAACAAUAUCUAUUAAUCCAGAUUUUUCUCAAAAUCAUUCAAUCUGAUAUGAACAUGGACGGUCAUGUUUAAUUCGUGUUUGAAUUUAAAAUUAUUCAUCCUCAAUUUCUGUUUUGUUUCCUCCAAAAUCAAUCCCAAACCUUCUAUAAAUACCCAUUGAAGAACAAAAGGGAGGAGAAGGAUUUUUGAAAAAAAAAUUGAGGAGAGGCGCAUGCUUUUAAUCCUACGUAACCAAAAAUUCUCAAAGAAAUGGACUCGAGCUCAAUUCCGACGAAAAUUAAUCUUCGAAUUUAGUGUUGAAAGUUUCGUCGUCAAGGUUCGUUGUUCCCAUUCGCCGCCCACAAAAAGGUAAACUUAGCUCCCUUUAUCUAUUUUAUUUGAAGUAGCAUAAUUUAAUUGUUCGCGUUAAUAGUGCUUGUCCUUGUUUAGCCGUAAUCUUCUUCAGAGUGUUAUGAUCAUCUGUGUUCAGCUGGUAUAAGUAUUAAGUUGUUUGAUUAGCUAUCUGAUGAAACCCAAACUGAUUUUGCUUGUGUAUGAACUCUAGCUUCACUUUAUCAUCAAAACAGGGUUGUAACUGCUCGAUUGGAUCUCGAAGAACCUUGUUGUUUCAUUUUUUAUUUUAUUCUUUCCGCUUGAUUAAAUCCAAAUUAGCAAGUCUCAAUGUUGCCUGCACUCUACAUGUUUUCUUUUAUAUAAAGUAAAUUUUUGUUAAGUUCUAGAGAGAGAUCCUAUUUUUUCCUCAGUUAUCAUAUUUAUGUGUUUUUUGUUGAUGCAUUGCCAUAACACUCAUGUACACUAUCAUACAUGUACAUGAAAAAAUGGUGUCAAACAUGCUGAUUUCUACGUUGAUAUAUGGCGUAUACACGAUGGUAUACCUAAAAACGCAGAAAAAAAGGGGACUAAUAUACAUAUAGUAUACAUAGCUGAAAGAGGAUUAAAAAAAAAAAAAAAAGGCCAUUUAAAUAGGCCCAAAACCAAUGCUGUCCAGAUUUUAAAAUGGGCUAAUUAAGGGCCCAAUUUCAAUUCUUGUAUUCUUUUUUGUAGCUUAUAUUGUUUAGUGAAAAUUAUAUAUAUAACGACAUGUUUACUAGUAUUUACUAAAAAUCCCAGCUAUUUUCAAAAUUUCAUUAAAUCCCAACAUUUAGCCUUUGAAGAUACAUAUAAGUUCAGUUAGAUACGUCCUACAGAUACAUAUAUUAGUUAAACUAAUUAGCAUAUUUUAAGAGAUUAGUUAAACUAAUUAGCAUGUUUUAAGGAAUGUAACAGCGAAACUAGCAUUAAUAUAGCAAUUAACCUUACUAAUUAUGGUAAAAAAUAAAUAAUAUCCCACGAUAUAUGGUAAUUAGUUUGUUAUUCCACCAUUUUAAACAAAAACCUUUCCAUAAUUAGUUUUCAGGUUGCAAAAAGUUUAUACGUUCCAUCAAAAUAAAUCCAUACCUCUUUUUUUUUUUAUUUUUUGAUUUUCUUUGAUCAAUUGCUAUGAAAGUUCAUACGCUCCAUCAAAAAAAUUCAUACGACCUCUCUUUUUUAUUUGUUGAUUUUCUUUCAUCGAUUGCAAUGAAUAUUUCAAUGUCCGUACAUCAUUCCAACGUUUGGAUUAACGAUAUUAUACCAUAAUCACUCAAACCACUUUCGUUGUUGUUGUUCGAUAUGAAGGGAAACAAGAUCAUUACAAGUUGCGAAAAUAGUGAAGUUAAGGUUGGACAAAUCUACAAGGACAAGUGUAUUGUUAUUUCAGUUAUGGCAUGGUAUGCCAUUGAGCAUUCCUUCAAUUUCUAUGCGAAAAGAUACAAAAAAUGAUUUGUAUGUUUAAUGUUUCAAAAGUAGUUAUUUGUCUUUUGACUAUUCAAUUAUGCAUUUAACGUAAAAUUGAUUGUCGUUUUACGUAAUUCAGUUUUUGUUAUUUUUAGUAGGCCGAGAUACAUAUUUGGUCUAAUGAGAUAUAUUUUUUCUUCAUCUUGUAUCUCUGGUUCAGGUUGUUUAUAUAUAUGUAUCUCUUGAUGUUUUAGUUUUAGUGAUAUAAACAUACCAAAGAUACAUAUUAGUAGUGUUAAAUAUACAUAAUGGGCAUGAUAGCACAUAUAUGUGUCUCUCAUUAAUUUUUUCUGUACGAUAAAAUACAUCUUAAUUUUUUAACAUAUUACCGUUGAAGAUACAUAUAAUUAACGUGAGAUACAUCCUAUAGAUACAUUUAAUAAUUGAAUUAAUUUACAUAAUUUAAGGGUUGUAACGGUUAAAGUUCCUUUAAUUUAGCAAUUAACCUAACUAAUAAUGGUAAAAACUAAACAAAAUUCCACGAAAAUAG